CCAGAGACUAUGGGUUGAGGAGGAAUUGGAAGUUUGUCGGCUUAGACCUGGUGUCAUUCCAUCAGUGUUAAACUUCCCGGCUCAUCUUGGAAGAGUACGUGCCAGAAAGACCACGACCAAGCAGCCUUGAGAUCUUAGACAGCGUCUCCCUGAGGUCUCUCUCUAUCUCCCCACACAUCCACCAACCACUGGAACACAUCUCCAAAGUUCUGCUGGACCAGCUCAGCUUCCCCUCAGAAGAAGUGCUGCCACCUGCCAGAUGAAGGAGCCUUUUGAGAGGCAGCUGGCAUCGUGAUUGGACUGUACUUUGGUCUGUUCCAAUCCAGCUUCAGCUCCAGAGACGGCAGGCGGGACGAGUCAACGGAGGCCGGAUGGACGAAGCGACUCCAUGGAUUUUAUGGAUGGUGGUUGAAGACCUGCUCUUCUCGUGGUCUUCCUUCUAGUUGCUGUAAAAAGUCAGUCCAUCCUGGCUGACUUCAACACCUCUUCAUGACAACUUGUUCUGCCUCCGACCUCGUGGAAACUCCAGAAACUCAGGAAAACCCGUGGAGACUCAGAUUUUCGAAAAACUCGUCGGGCGGG
ensembl:lncRNA